CCUACGGGAGGCAGCAGUGGGGAAUAUUGGACAAUGGGCGAAAGCCUGAUCCAGCCAUGCCGCGUGUGUGAAGAAGGCCUUCGGGUUGUAAAGCACUUUCAGUGGGGAAGAAAGCCUUGGGGCUAAUACCCUCGAGGAAGGACAUCACCCACAGAAGAAGCACCGGCUAACUCCGUGCCAGCAGCCGCGGUAAUACGGAGGGUGCGAGCGUUAAUCGGAAUUACUGGGCGUAAAGCGCGCGUAGGCGGUCUGAUAAGCCGGUUGUGAAAGCCCCGGGCUCAACCUGGGAACGGCAUCCGGAACUGUCAGGCUAGAGUGCAGGAGAGGAAGGUAGAAUUCCCGGUGUAGCGGUGAAAUGCGUAGAGAUCGGGAGGAAUACCAGUGGCGAAGGCGGCCUUCUGGACUGACACUGACGCUGAGGUGCGAAAGCGUGGGUAGCAAACAGGAUGAGAUACCCCUGAGUC
rnacentral:rRNA from 1 species